ACUGGAGGGCAGAAGAGGAGAGUGGAAUUCGAGGUGUAGGGGGGAAAUGCGCAGAGAGAAGGAGGAACACCAGUGGGGAAGGCGAGUUGCUGGUCAGUAACUGGCGCUGAUGAGCGAAAGCGGGGGGGUCAAACAGGAUAGGACACCCGGGAAGGCCACGCCGAAAGCGAUGAGUGCUAAGAGGUAGGGGGUUGCCGCCCCUGAGGGCUACAGCUAACGCAUUAAGCACGCC
rnacentral:rRNA from 1 species